CCACCCCGUAAGGCUAAAUACUACUUAGUGACCGAUAGCGCAUAGUACUGUGAAGGAAAGGUGAAAAGGACCCCGGGAGGGGAGUGAAAAAGAACCUGAAACCAUAUGUUUACAAGCUGUGGAAGAGCUUUAUAUGCUCAACCGCGUACUUUUUGUAGAACGGUCCGGCGAGUUACGCUGGCUGGCGAGGUUAAGGACUCAAGGUCUGGAGCCGAAGGGAAACCAAGUCUGAAUAGGGCGCAUAGUCAGUCGGAGUAGACCCGAAACCGGGUGAUCUAUCCAUGUCCAGGUUGAAGUUGCCGUAAAAGGCAAUGGAGGACCGAACCCACAUCCGUUGAAAAGGGUGGGGAUGAGGUGUGGAUAGGGGAGAAAUUCCAAUCGAACCCGGAGAUAGCUGGUUCUCCUCGAAAUAGCUUUAGGGCUAGCCUCAUACGAGUCUUGCGGAGGUAGAGCACUGAAUUCCUAAGGGGGCGUCAAAGCUUACUAAGGGAUAUCAAACUCCGAAUGCCGUGUAGAUGAUGUAUGGGAGUCAGACGAUCCGAGAUAAGUUGGGUGGUCAAAAGGGAAAGAGCCCAGACCAACAGCUAAGGCCCCAAAAUGUGUGUUAAGUGGAAAAGGAUGUGGGAUUUCGAAGACAACUAGGAUGUUGGCUCAGAAGCAGCCAUUCAUUCAAAGAGUGCGUAAUAGCUCACUAGUCGAGAGGUCCUGCGCCGAAAAUGUCCGGGGCUAAAACACACUGCCGAAGCUUUGGAAUUGAGAAUUCAAUUGGUAGAGGAGCAUUCUUAAAGGGAUGAAGCAGUACCGUAAGGAGCUGUGGACUUUUAAGAAGAGAGAAUGCCGGAAUGAGUAGCGAGAGGAAGGUGGGAAUCCUUCCGGCCGAAUAUCUAAGGUUUCCAGAGUAAAGCUGAUCUGCUCUGGGUAAGUCGGGGCCUAAGGCGAGGUCGAAAGACGUAGUCGAUGGAUAACAGGUUGAAAUUCCUGUACUAUCCUGUAACAGAACUGUGGGGACACAGGCAGAGAGCGUGAGCCGGGAAUGGAAAGACCGGUACAAGCGAGGUAGGAGAAGAGUUGGCAAAUCCGCUCUUUAAUCUGAAGACGUGAUGUGGACUGAAAAUAAGUAGGGAAGCACGUGAGCUGACUGUCAAGAAAAGCCGCUAUUGUUUGCAGGAUACCCGUACCGUAAACCGACACAGGUGGAUGAGGAGAGAAUCCUAAGGCCGACGGGAGAAGCAUUGUUAAGGAACUCGGCAAAAUGACUCCGUAACUUCGGGAGAAGGAGUGCCAGUAAGAUGGCCGCAGAGAAUUGGCCCAAGCAACUGUUUAGCAAAAACACAGGUCUAUGCAAAACCGAAAGGUGAGGUAUAUGGGCUGACGCCUGCCCGGUGCUGGAAGGUUAAGGGGAGAGGUUAGCGCAAGCGAAGCUUUGAACUUAAGCCCCAGUAAACGGCGGCCGUAACUAUAACGGUCCUAAGGUAGCGAAAUUCCUUGUCGGGUAAGUUCCGACCCGCACGAAAGGCGUAAUGAUUUGGGCACUGUCUCAACAAUGCACCCGGUGAAAUUGAAAUA
rnacentral:rRNA from 1 species